GAAACUCCACAAAUAAAUGGUCCUCUCAAUAGUCUCCGCUGAGUUGAGUUUUAUUAGAAAUAUAUAUCAGAAACCACAUCUUAUGUCCUGUGCCUUGAUAAUUUGAUACAUGUAUGCGUCCAACAGUGGUCAUGAUACUUUAUGAUUACAGUGUUUACAUACAGGCCAUGAAACUGCCAAAUACAAGGUACACACCUGUUAAACAUUAUGUAUACACACACCUGUUAAACAUGUAACGUUGUAUAUAUGUAUACACACUGUCACACAUAUUUAAGAUCAAAUAAAAUUCUACCUCCACAUGUGUGCUAAUUAUAUUUUUUCCUGACAACAAAAAUGUUGGUUUCGCUGACAUGAUUAUCAACUAUAUCAUACAGACAUCAAUGUUAAAACUGUGGUUAAAAUUGUGCAUCCCUGAAUGUUGAGAACAUGAAGACAUUUACAGAUGCAGCAUGGAGAAUUCUGGUACUCAAAACCUGAGGACACGUAGAGAAUUCAGUACUGUACAAAUAACCACCUUUACUAAUUUGGGCAUAAACAGAAAAUGUACAUUUCCUAAUUUGGGCAUAUACAGAAAAUGUACAUUUCCCAAUUUGGGCAUAAACAGAAAAUGUACAUUUCCUAAUUUGGGCAUAUACAGAAAAUGUACAUUUCCUAAUUUGGGCAUA